rnacentral:lncRNA from 1 species
UGAUUCUUCCAAAGAGCCUUUGUUUUAAGGCACUAAAUGCAUGUUUGAAAUAACCCAAUAUUUACUUUUUAAAAGGUACAUUACCUUUCUACAUUAGAAGACAUAGUUCCUUCUAUAGUUAAUGAUUUUGGUAGUCAUCUUUCAGUAUCCUCGGAGGAUUGGUUACAGAACAUCUCAUGGAUAUCACAAUCUGAGCAUGCUCAAAUAUAUUACAUAAAGUGAUGUAGUCCUUGCAUAUCACAUGCACUUCCUCUUGUAUAUUUUAAAUCAUCUGUAGAUUACUUAUAA